rnacentral:rRNA from 1 species
AUGGCAAUCGAGGCGUGUCCCGACCGGUACGACGCCGUCGAGGAGGGGGAGGCGUCUCCUGGCCUUGAACCAGAGGAGGGGGAGGCGUCUCCUGACCUUCAACCAGAGGAGGAGGAGGAGGAGGAGGAGGAGGAAGAAGAUGGGAGGCGGGCCAAGCGGGCGCCUUCGGACCUCAAUGCCGGGGAGGAGGGGGAGCAGGGGAGGGCGGAGAUGGCAAUCGAGGCGUCUCCCGACCAAGAGGGGGAGGCGUCCCCUGGCCUUGAACAAGAGGAGGAGGACGCGUCUCCUGGCCUUGAACCAGAGGAGGAGGAAGAGGAAGAGGAAGAGGAGGAGGAGACCAUCCUGGGGGCCUACCCAAGCCAUCGCCAUGGGGAGACGACGGAGAAGGCACCGAGCAGCUGCCGGACGCCGGACCCCGCAGGCGGCGCGGGGGAGGCGGUGAGGUGGAACCUCGCGGCGGCGCGCGCGGACAGGGACGCCUCGCUGCUGGCGGACAUGCUGUACUGGGGCAACAAGAGGAGCCUGCGCGCCCGGCGGCAGUUCCUCCCGGCGCUCCUGUGCGCCGCGGAGCCCCACGCGCUGGUCGUCGGCGCCGUCAGGGACUUCCUGGCCAGGGCCGAGCCCAAGAGCGACAAGAACUGGGAGAACUGCGCCUCGCUCCUCUGCUGCGUCCCCAGCCUCAGGGCCGAGCCGUCGGCAGCCACGCUGGAGCGGGCCAGACGGCUGGCGGAGGACUGGAGGGAGAUGAUCACCGGCAGGCCUGAAAGCUGCAGGGACCUCGGCCGGCUCGCCGUAUGGGGCCUUCUGCAGUUUCUUGCCUCGUACAAAAUUGCCUUGGAGCUGGACGCUGAUGGGAUCAACCAUCUCCUCGCCGACGUCCCGCGCAACAAGAAGCAGAGCUGCAUCGAGCUCCGCAAUGGCCUUGGGCUGAUCCACUCCAUGGCUGACUCGGCCGACCAUCUGAUUGAGAAUGGGCAGCCAGUUGAUGCUAUCAGCCAUCUGAUUGAGAAUGGGAAGCUACUUGAUGCUAUCAAACUGGCGUGUGAUUUGAAUCUGACCGACAAAUAUCCUCCACUUUCCCUCAUGAAUGAUUAUGUUGAGAAGGCUAAGAAGACUGCUCAGGAGAUAUUGAGUAGGGAAGGCGAUUCACCGGACUCUCUGGUUUGUCCUUCGCAUAUCUUCCUCAAUAAGAAUAUCUUGUGUUGCAUGAGAGUGAUUUUUCAAAUUUGA